UACGUAGGUGGCAAGCGUUAUCCGGAUUUACUGGGUGUAAAGGGCGCGCAGGCGGCCCUGCAAGUCGGAUGUGAAAGAUCAAGGCUCAACCUUGACAGGCCAUUCGAAACUGUGGGACUUGAGUGUCAGAGGGGAAAGUGGAAUUCCUAGUGGAGCGGUAAAAUGCGCAGAUAUUAGGAGGAACACCGGUGGCGAAGGCGACUUUCUGGCUGACAACUGACGCUGAGGCGCGAAAGCGUGGGGAGGCAAACAGGAUUAGAUACCCU
rnacentral:rRNA from 1 species